UACGUAGGGUGCAAGCGUUAAUCGGAAUUACUGGGCGUAAAGCGUGCGCAGGCGGUUUUGUAAGUCUGUCGUGAAAUCCCCGGGCUCAACCUGGGAAUUGCGAUGGAGACUGCAGGGCUAGAAUCUGGCAGAGGGGGGUAGAAUUCCACGUGUGAGCAGUGAAAUGCGUAGAGAUGUGGAGGAACACCGAUGGCGAAGGCAGCCCCCUGGGUCAAGAUUGACGCUCAUGCACGAAAGCGUGGGGAGCAAACAGG
rnacentral:rRNA from 1 species